AGUAUGAUUUUGUUUUUUAGGUAAAAUUUUUUUAUUUUUAAUAUUUUUUUAUAAAAAUAUUUUUUUAUAAUAUUUUUUUUAAAUUGCUCUUAAUUUUUUUAUUUAAAUUUUAAAAUUUAUGACCAAAUUUUUUAACGAAAAAAAUUAUAAAAUAAAAAAAAAAGAAAAGGAAAAGAAAACGGACCAAAGGAAGAAAGAGAAUUACGGAAAAAGGAAGAAAAAGAAGAGGGAAGGGAAGGAGAAGAAAGGAGAAGGGAAGGUGAAGACGACGCUAGCGAGCGAGGGCGGACGUCGAGCUAGCAAAUUGGCGAGGAAGGAUGUUUGCCGUGUCGCCGUUCUGUGCGACCUCUUCGCUAGCUCGCAGAUCUAUGGUUCAGGAAUUCACCGGCAUCCCUUCUCCGCCCUUCUCCUCCGCUCUAACACGCACUAAGCCCAAGCCCAAACCCAAACCCAAACCCAAACCCGCUAUUAUUCCAUCAUCACAAUCACACUAGCAGCAUGCUUGAUGCUAUGGCUUCUACUACCACCGCCUCCAACAACCUCCUGUUCUUCCUUUACCCUAUCACCACACGAAUCUAACCAUGCAAAACAACAACCCUACCACCACUACUACCGGUCCUUCAACAAUGUUCCUGCAGGGUUUGCUAGCAAGUCUAUCCAUGGCGCCAUCGCUUCAUCAGGCGCCGAACUAUAAUAACAAUAAUGUGCAACUGAUGAUACCACAUGAUCAAGAACAUGUAGCUUCUGAUGAAGGCUUUGUUAUCAAACUCGGAAGUUGCCACUUGCUUGAUAUUUCUUUGAUUCCAUACAAUUGGGGAAGUGUUUGUUAUUAUUGAGGAGCCAGAUACUUAAUGCAAAGAACCCUAACUGUGUUAAAAGUCAACAUCAAUCACAGACACAUUCCAUUGCCUUGGAUGUUAGGACUCUAUCUUAUUUUGGAUCAGAUCGUCUCAUUAUUUUCCCUCCAUGUAGCAACAUUAACAUAUUAUUAUAAAAGAAAAAACAAUCAUGUCACGUUCGAAGGAAAAAAAA